rnacentral:lncRNA from 1 species
AAGAGCGGUGGACUCGUAAUCUGGUGAACCGGGUUUGCUUCCCCGCUCCUCAACAUGCAGCUGCUGGGUGACCUUGGGCUAGUCACACUUCUCUGAAGUCUCUCAGCCUCACUCACCUCACAGAGUGUUUGUUGUGGGGGAGGAAGGGAAAAGGAGAUUGUGAGCCGCUUUGAGACUCAGUGAUAAAGCGGGACAUCAAAUCCAAACUCCUCCUCCUUCUAAGUUGUCUUCGGUGUCAUUCCUGGGGGACUCUAGGGUAGACAGCGCUUGCCACUCUUCCUUAUCCAGUCAGUCCCUGACAUCAUGUCCAGUUAUUGAUAGGUUUGUGAGCUCAUCCACCUGUCAAAGCUGAUCCCCAGGGGUAGGUUUGCUUUCACAGCAUGUUUCCCAUAGGGGAUGCGCUGGCAAAAGUAGCACCAGCAGUAUUAAACCUUCCUCUCACCAGCUACUGAGUGAAAGGUUCAGUCCUCCUGGCUGGUCUGCUUCCCCAGCAGGACUGAACCCUCCACUCGGCAGCUGAUGAGAAUCAAGCUAAAUAACUAACACAUUGUGCUAUUAAUCUAGUUCAAUGCCAGAUGUGAUUGGGAUUUCCAUUCCCAUACAUGGUAUGGGAUUUACCGUAUUUAUUUGAAUACAUGGACACAUACAUAGGAUUAAACUGAAAAUAGAUAUAGACAGUGGUACCGCGGGUCAGGUGAGAUGUUGCAUUAAAAGCACCACCUAAUUACAGUGGUACCUCGGGUUAAGUACUUAGUUCGUUCCGGAGGUCCGUACUUAACCUGAAACUGUUCUUAACCUGAAGCACCACUUUAGCUAAUGGGGCCUCCUGCUGCUGCCGCACCACUAGAGCACGAUUUCUGUUCUCAUCCUGAAGUAAAGUUCUUAACCUGAAGCACUAUUUCUGGGUUAGCAGAGUCUGUAACCUGAAGCAUAUGUAACCUGAAGCAUAUGUAACCCGAGGUACCACUGUAUGUGACAUAAAAAGUCAUCCUCAGUCUUUGCCCCUUCUUACUGAAAAACAAACCAUUUUUAUACUGUUUAUCUUCACCAAUAAAUAUACAAUCAUAUGAACCUACUGAAGGCAAAAAGGUUGCAACUUUUUUAAAAAAAAGUUUUUUUGAUAUUUAUUCAAGGAGAAGCUGCAUUUAAGGUAAGAUGAACAUAUUCUUGAGAACAUGGAGUCACAUGAUACUCCAUGUCAAUCCUUCUGUGCUGUUUCUCUGCAUUACACCAUUUUAGAGUACAUUCAUUUAGCUCUUGUUAAGAAAUUAGGUGCAUUAACAUCUGGCGCGGUGGGUCUAAAGCUCCUUUCUACCUUAUUUCCCUGAUAGUACCAUAUACUUCUACACUCACUGUUGGUUUUUCUUGAGUUUUGGGUGUUCUUUCAAUGAGAGAGAGCAGAGUUUUCAUUAUUUCCAAAUUAUGGAACUUUUUACAAUCCUGUAAAGUAUUUAAUACUGCUAAACAGUAAUGUGGAAUUAAUUUGUCUGGGGGGUUCUGUCCAUUUUUUUCCAGGGAUUUCUUUCCCUCAUAAAACCAUUCAGUUCAGUUCACCGCAGCAGAAGUUGGUUGUCGGGUUUUCUGACAAGACCUGCUUCCAAAGCAUACACACGGUUUCUGUGCUUGCAGACAGUGUCUGGGGCACACCUGGGUCACCGCAGUUCAGGUGGUGUUGCCAUGGGAGACUGUAACUCUUUCCUGAAACGUGUGUUUUUCGAGAAUCUCAGGGGAGGUCUUUUUCACCUGUCUUAACUUCUCUGCACAUAACAGCCUUGGUUAUUUAAAUUUGGCAUGCUGUUCUCCUUUGUGCAAUAGAUAGAUUUAUCGCUUGGUUAUCCCAGCCUUCUGCUAAAGGAGCUCAGGGCCCUGUAUCUGAAGGUAGGUGAUUAUUCUCCUAAUAAUCUUGUGAGGACAUUUCAUGUUUAGUUAAAACGACUUUGUCAAAACCAUUCUAUGAUGUGGAGAUUUGAGCCCAGGUUUCCCACAACCAAGUCCAACCAUUAUUGUACUAUACUACACUGACUUCGUUGACUGCAAUAGUAGCCAGGGGGAACUAGCCAGGCAUAAUAAAUUUAGAAUAGCAGAGCGAUGGGAGUCCACGAACUGAAGUGAACCCAAGGCGAGUUAAACCGUGGAGUGAAUUUGACAGCAGGGUGAGGCCAGGGCGCGCUACUCUGCCCCUCCUCUCCUUGAUCUAAACAAAACCUCAGCUUCUAAUAACUUAUGCAUUUGGAAAGCCAACAAGGCGUAUACGGUUUCCCCAGUGUUUUGCACUGUCUGCCAUAUGAACAACUGCCUGCCUGUUGGACAAAAGCUGUGAGGGUGUCCUCGGUGCGCCGAACUCCUUGCUCUCUGGAAACAAGUUUGUUCCCUUGAGGCCACAGUGGCUGGCCUAGAAAGGAUCUCAAGGAAGGAAGGUUUCACUCUGAGGAAGAGAGAAACAAUCCCUUAGAAGGGACCCCUUCCUUGGAGCAUGGGCAGCUGUCCUUUCAUGCCAACGGUGCUUCUCUGGAAGGCUGGGAGGAAGAGGGAUCCUGGUGGUGGCUGAUUCAAUCAUUAGGAACAUAGAAAAUUGGUGUGUGGUUGGCCUAUGGACUACAGGGUGAGUUGCCUGCCUGGAACCUGCAGCAAAAUGUUGUGGUGUGGAAUACUCUUGUUUGGUGUUACAGUCAGCCUUCUUUUGAUAUGCCGCUCCAUCCCACCACCUCUCACCUGGUUUUCAAUCCCGUCUCCCGCCAACAGCCAGCCUGCAUCACAUUGCCAUGGAACUUUAUCAGUCCUCAAAGAGCUGCUUUGGCAGGUUCCUUCUCCCUUUCAAGGUUUUCCCUAAAUAUUUUUGUAUUUCCCCAGUGCCACCGCCACUCCUACUGAUACCUUGUGUGCUUUUGUUGUUUAGUCGUUUAGUCGUGUCCGACUCUUCAUGAUCCCAUGGACCAGAACACGCCAGGCACUUCUGUCUCCCACUGCCUCCCGCAGUUUGGUCAGACUCGUGUUUGUAGCUUUGAGAACACUGGCCAACCAUCUCGUCCUCUGUCGUCCCCUUCUCCUUGUGCCCUCCAUCUUUCCCAACAUCAGGAUCUUUUCCAGGGAGUCUUCUCUUCUCAUGAGGUGGCCAAAUUAUUGGAGUCUCAGCUUCAGGAUCUGUCCUUCCAGUGAGCACUCAGGGCUGAUUUCCGUAAGAAUGGAGAGGUUUGAUCUUCUUGCAGUCCAUGGGACUCUCAAGAGUCUCCUCCAGCACCAUAAUUCAAAAGCAUCAGUUCUUCGGCGUUCAGCCUUCUUUAUGGUCCAGCUCUCACUUCCAUACAUCACCACUGGGAAAACCAUAGCUUUAACUAUACGGACCUUUGUUGGCAAGGUGAUGUCUGCUUUUUAGGAUGCUGUUGGUGCCAUUUUUGGUUAUGUAAGAAUCCACUCUGAACUUCAGGAAUAUAAUUAUAUAUGCACAUUCUAAUCUCCCUUUGCCACUUACUCAUCCCCCCGCCUCAUGCUGUGUCAAUACUGCAGUUCUUUGCAGAAACGUGUCCUUUUAAAUUCUUUUUUCUCUCUGUACUAUGCAGCAAUAGGCAUUGGAAGAAGGGGCGCAUGGGAAAGCUGAAAGAGGUUUCUCUGCUGUGGGCCCCAGCAAAAAAAAGCUUGGAUGUAGGUGCUGAGGAAGGAGAGCAUACAUUUGUGAAUUCUUCAAUAGUCCUCCAUAAGUCAAAUAGCUUCCAGUUUCAUUACUACACUGAUUCCUUCGGAAAACAUCUGGAGUUUUAAUGCUUUUUUCCCUAUCGCUGUUAAAUAUUUUUGUUUUGUUUUGUUUUCCUACCCACCCCUUGCUGUUUGGAAGAAUUCAUACAAAGUCAGUCAGCUUUGAGGGAAAGGAACCAUGAGGUCUGUCAAAUGAAUAAGAGGAAAAUCUUGCAUGUUGGAGCACAGGAGGAAAUAAUGUAGACGGUUACAUAACAUAACCAGAUAUUUUAGCUCUUGGGUAGGAAAAGAGCUGGGUGGGUGCAGUUUCUUCACCCAUUGCAUAACACCAGAAGGGGGUGCCUGGUUAGAUUAAUGAAUAGCAAAUGCUUGAAGCAGGCAUUCUGUACACCACAGGCUAAUAAUGCAAUAACAAAGCAGUUGAGCCCUAAAUGAAUGCUUAGCUGUUGGCCAAUUGAUGAAUUAAGUCAUGUUGAUGUACCUUUUUUGAUGCCAGCUCAAAGCUCUCUGCACAAUAGGAGAGAUUAAUGUUUAUAGCUGAAGCUUUACGCCUCGGGUUGGGGGAUCAACAACACUAUUUGUGAAUAAAUAUAGUCAUUACUGGGUUAGUUAUGGAUGUCUGGUACCCAUUACAUGGGAACAAAACAAGCUUGCGACUAUGGUAUCCAGUAAACAUUUCCUAAACAAUGCCGUACUUAAAUCAAGUUCUUGUGCUGUUCUUUGUCCAUCUACCCUGAAGUGUACAAGAACUGUCACAAUAAAAUAGUUUCCUGGCUACUAAUUCAGAACCUGGAGAAGCCACUCCUUACAUCCCUGCAUGCCAGUAGAUUCCCGUCAGCUUGCUGGAGUGGAAACAGACAAUAGUUUUGAAGAGAGUAGAUGGUUUGAGAGAGGCUUAGCUUCCCUUCAUGUAUAUGCACAUUUCUUUGUCCCCUUCCGCCAACCAGGUUUUUGAAGCAAGGCAAGACCCUGAACGAUCUGUAAGCAGGCUUAAUUGUGUGAGAUAAGCUUUUUCAUACAUGACUUUUUUUACAGUGUACAACUGGAAAACGUAAAGUUGAGCAGUGUACAACUGGAAAAAGUAAAGUUGAGUAAAGUUUGGGAAUGUGCUUACUGUACAAAUACACCCAUCAGAGAGUGGAGAUUGGCUGCAGCUCCCUGCAAAGUGUGCAUUCGGAACCAAAUCCAGGUUUCAUCUCAAAUAGUUUAGAAAAUGCCCCCUAUUCAUAUUCACCAGCUUUCAAAAACAAACUACAAAAUGACUCUUGCGCCUUUGCAGUUGAAGUUGAGAUAUCAUAAAACACAGUUUUCCUCUUCUCUCAAUCAUCCUAAGGCACCCACAUCUAAUUUUUUGAUAUCAUAGUG